GCAGUCGUGGCCGAGUGUUUAAGGCGAUGGACUAGAAAUCCAUUGGGGUCUCCCCGCACAGGUUCGAAUCCUGUCGACUGCA
rfam:Ixodes scapularis strain Wikel colony gcontig_1108378504690, whole genome shotgun sequence.